UGCUUCUGACCUCCACUCAAACUUGAGCCUCUUGGUCCUAUGUUGGUUUCGUAUCCAUCUGGGAGAUUUCUGAUAAAUUCAUCUGCAUUUGCAGUUCGUGCUGCAUCCUCUACCAUUUUCAUGUUAAUUUUUGCCAACAGAUCCCUGUACCCAAUAUUUUCAGCAACUGUUCCUGAAAAAAGUAUAAUAUCCUUGGAAACCA